AAUAUUCAGUUUCAACACACACCUCAGAUGGAGAGGUCCUAAAAAUAUGGUCCAGGUAUAAAAAACCUGGACUAAAAAGGAAACCAACAAAAAAUCUUGGAAUUCGACAAUUUCAGUGGGGUACUACAAAAUAUUUUUGUGGGCCACAGGCUAUUCAACAUCAAAUAUUUUUGUAAUCACCCGUUUGGCACUAUAUUUAAUGAACCCAAGCUAGAGCUCAUAGGCAUGAACUCUUGGAGACAACAAUUUUAAUGCCACAGGAAAAUUUUUUUAGUGACCUUAAAAAAUGCCGAACUACAAAAAUCGUAGUCCAAGACUUUAAUUUAUGAGCACACAAUAAAGUCAGGUCCCAACUGGGCUUGAAUAUAAUCAGAUUCAACACACACCUCAGAUCUAAAGGUUUUAAAUUUAGUCUAGAAUAAAUCAAAAAUUCUCCCAUUACGCAUUAGAGUCAGCGUCACUUCUUACUUAAAGCAAUACAAUUUCUGUGGCUUCCACAAAAUGGAGGCCAUAUUCAAAAACAUGCCCAAGGAACCAAGUCGGAGAUCUUGGCAUAAUUCCUUGGAUGCAUCUAUGCAUUUACCUGAGUAACCACUGCUUUAAACCUUCGAGUAACGAGAACAUCUGAGGGGCAGACACGUUCAGAGAUAUCAAAAAUUCCAGACAUCAAUCAACGCCUCGAUGUCGCUGGUUUCACCGGCAUGC
rnacentral:sRNA from 1 species